rnacentral:rRNA from 1 species
CAUAUCAAUAAGCGGAGGAAAAGAAACCAACAGGGAUUGCCCCAGUAACGGCGAGUGAAGCGGCAACAGCUCAAAUUUGAAAUCUGGCCCCUAGGGUCCGAGUUGUAAUUUGUAGAGGAUGCUUUUGGUGAGGUGCCGCCCGAGUUCCCUGGAACGGGACGCCGCAGAGGGUGAGAGCCCCGUCUGGCUGGCCACCGAGCCUCUGUAAAGCUCCUUCGACGAGUCGAGUAGUUUGGGAAUGCUGCUCAAAAUGGGAGGUAUAUGUCUUCUAAAGCUAAAUAUUGGCCAGAGACCGAUAGCGCACAAGUAGAGUGAUCGAAAGAUGAAAAGCACCUUGAAAAGAGGGUUAAACAGUACGUGAAAUUGUUGAAAGGGAAGCGCUUGUGACCAGACUUGGGCGCGGCGGAUCAUCCGGGGUUCUCUCCGGUGCACUUCGCCGCGUUCAGGCCAGCAUCAGUUCGGCGCGGGGGAAAAAGGCUUCGGGAACGUGGCUCCUCCGGGAGUGUUAUAGCCCGUUGCAUAAUACCCUG